rnacentral:rRNA from 1 species
UGGGGAAUAUGGCACAAUGGGCGCAAGCCUGAUGCAGCCAUGCCGCGUGUGUGAAGAAGGCCUUCGGGUUGUAAAGCACUUUCAGCGAGGAGGAAGGGUAGUGUGUUAAUAGCACAUUGCAUUGACGUUACUCGCAGAAGAAGCACCGGCUAACUCCGUGCCAGCAGCCGCGGUAAUACGGAGGGUGCAAGCGUUAAUCGGAAUUACUGGGCGUAAAGCGCACGCAGGCGGUGUGUUAAGUCAGAUGUGAAAUCCCCGCGCUUAACGUGGGAACUGCAUUUGAAACUGGCAAGCUAGAGUCUUGUAGAGGGGGGUAGAAUUCCAGGUGUAGCGGUGAAAUGCGUAGAGAUCUGGAGGAAUACCGGUGGCGAAGGCGGCCCCCUGGACAAAGACUGACGCUCAGGUGCGAAAGCGUGGGGAGCAAACA